rnacentral:lncRNA from 1 species
UGGUUCUUUUGUCGUGCCCAGCUCUUAAUGAUGGAAAACCCUGUAUCACAGUAACAUUCCUUUAAAUGAACUGGAGAAGUCUUGAUUACAAUAAUCAUAUUGCUUUUUACUUUUCAACACUAUUGGAUCUUGUGUCAUACCAGCUUUAGAUGGUGGAUGGAGUAUAUGGAGGUGUUAAGAAUUGCACAAGAGGUGUUCCUGCUACCUCUCUAUAUGUAGACAAUGUCACUGUUGUUGUGACGUUCUCAUUUCUAAGCCUUAAUUUAUGUCCGUUACAACGCCCUUAGGGAGAAAAACUACACCCUCAAAUGGACUGUAGAAGUCCAGAUUACAAUAAUGGUACUUUCAGCACCAUUGCACGGUUUGGUUGUCUUGCCCAGCUCUUAAUGGUCCAAAAUGCUGUACAAUGGAUUAUGUUUUAAAAAUUGAAGAUAAAAGAUUAAGUUUUGAAUAUCUUCUUUUUUUCUCUGAAGAUGGCAAAUCAAAUUAUUAAUUCACGAGCUCUAGAUAAUAAAAAUAUCAGGUGUUAAAGUUUGGAGGUAUAAACAAGUCAUUCUCAAUCAAAAUAUUGCAAAAUUGUAAUGUUAGUGGAUUUUCUCAUUGUUGAAGCCCAUACAGUAACCUAUUUUACAUUAACAUCAUUUGGUCUCUGUAGGAUAGUUGUCUCACAUCUCUUGAUAUCACAACAAAUCAAUUUGUAGGUUCUAUAAAGUGGUCCAAUCCUAUGGUGAAGGGAGGGGGAAUUUUGACUGCCAACCGAGGAGGAUAUUUUUGGACAGAAAUUUAGCCUAUUAAUGCAACAAGCACACCCAUCCUACUGACACCUCAAACUCUAUGUGUAGACAACAUCACUGUUGUGACAUUCUUAUUUCUAAGCCUUAAUUUAUGUCCGUUACAACGCCCUUAGGGAGGAAAUAGUAGCAGAUAGUAGCAGAUAUUACUACACCCUCAAAUGGAUUGUAGAAGUCCAGUUUACAAUAAUGGUACUUUCAGCACCAUAACCUGCUUUGGUUGUCUUGUCCAGCUCUCAAUGGUCCAAAAUGCUGUACAAUGGAUUAUGAUUUAAAAAUUGAAGAUAAAAGAUUAAGUUUUGAAUAUAUCUACUUUUUUUCUUUGAAGAUGGCAAAUCAAAUUAUUAAUUCAUUAAAAAUUCAGAAUAACUCAAAUCUUUACACCACACAAACGCGACAACAAAGAAUGUGCAAUGAAAAGAAUUGAGUUAUUGUUUGAAACAUCAAAAAUGUUAAAGUUUCACGCAUUGUUUUUUAUUUGAACAGCAAUUUUCAGAUCUCAGGACAAGUUUUCUUUGGAACACACUCAGGACAAGUUAUCUUUGGAAGACAUUAUAAAUUUCUGUUUUGCAAAAGAUUAAAAGUUUUGGAUACUUUCUUUUUUUCUUUGAAGAUAACAAAUCUAAUUAUUAAUUCAUUAAAAAUUCAGACUAACCCAAUUGUUUACACCACACAAACUUUCCGGAGGUAACAUAUUUAUUUUUUGUCCAUUCUUUUUUCUUUCUUUUUUUCUUUUUUUUAAAAUAUACUGCAGUGCCAACAAAGAAUGUGCAAUGACAAGAAAUGAGUUAUUGUUUGAAAAUCAAAAAUGUUAAAUGUUCACAUUGUUUUUAUUUGAACAGCAAUUUUCAGAUCUCAGGACAAGUUUUCUUUGGAACACAUUAUAAAUUUUUGUUUUUCAAAUGAUUUCAACUGACAUAAACAAGACUGGAAAGGUCGAAAUUACCAAAAUGCUAAUUUCACUAUUAUUGGUUCUUUUGUCGUGCCCAGCUCUUAAUGAUGGAAAACCCUGUAUCACAGUAACAUUCCUUUAAAUGAACUGGAGAAGUCUUGAUUACAAUAAUCAUAUUGCUUUUUACUUUUCAACACUAUUGGAUCUUGUGUCAUACCAGCUUUAGAUGGUGGAUGGAGUAUAUGGAGGUGUUAAGAAUUGCACAAGAGGUGUUCCUGCUACCUCUCUAUAUGUAGACAAUGUCACUGUUGUUGUGACGUUCUCAUUUCUAAGCCUUAAUUUAUGUCCGUUACAACGCCCUUAGGGAGAAAAACUACACCCUCAAAUGGACUGUAGAAGUCCAGAUUACAAUAAUGGUACUUUCAGCACCAUUGCACGGUUUGGUUGUCUUGCCCAGCUCUUAAUGGUCCAAAAUGCUGUACAAUGGAUUAUGUUUUAAAAAUUGAAGAUAAAAGAUUAAGUUUUGAAUAUCUUCUUUUUUUCUCUGAAGAUGGCAAAUCAAAUUAUUAAUUCACGAGCUCUAGAUAAUAAAAAUAUCAGGUGUUAAAGUUUGGAGGUAUAAAACAAGUCAUUCUCAAUCAAAAUAUUGCAAAAUUGUAAUGUUAGUGGAUUUUCUCAUUGUUGAAGCCCAUACAGUAACCUAUUUUACAUUAACAUCAUUUGGUCUCUGUAGGAUAGUUGUCUCACAUCUCUUGAUAUCACAACAAAUCAAUUUGUAGGUUCUAUAAAGUGGUCCAAUCCUAUGGUGAAGGGAGGGGGAAUUUUGACUGCCAACCGAGGAGGAUAUUUUUGGACAGAAAUUUAGCCUAUUAAUGCAACAAGCCACAUCCUACUGACACCUCAAAAGAGUUGUGACAAGGGUUCUUUAACGUGCAGAGUGGCACUGUCUGUCCCUACAAAUAGGACCUAUACUUUCCCGCUACCUCUAUGUGUAGACAACAUCACUGUUGUUGUGACAUUCUUAUUUCUAAGCCUUAAUUUAUGUCCGUUACAACGCCCUUAGGGAGGAAAUAGUAGCAGAUAUUACUACACCCUCAAAUGGAUUGUAGAAGUCCAGUUUACAAUAAUGGUACUUUCAGCACCAUAACCCGCUUUGGUUGUCUUGUCCAGCUCUUAAUGGUCCAAAAUGCUGUACAAUGGAUUAUGAUUUAAAAAUUGAAGAUAAAAGAUUAAGUUUUGAAUAUAUCUACUUUUUUUCUUUGAAGAUGGCAAAUCAAAUUAUUAAUUCAUUAAAAAUUCAGAAUAACUCAAAUCUUUACACCACACAAACGCGCCAACAAAGAAUGUGCAAUGAAAAGAAUUGAGUUAUUGUUUGAAACAUCAAAAAUGUUAAAGUUUCACGCAUUGUUUUUUAUUUGAACAGCAAUUUUCAGAUCUCAGGACAAGUUUUCUUUGGAACACACUCAGGACAAGUUAUCUUUGGAAGACAUUAUAAAUUUCUGUUUUGCAAAAGAUUAAAAGUUUUGGAUACUUUCUUUUUUUCUUUGAAGAUAACAAAUCUAAUUAUUAAUUCAUUAAAAAUUCAGACUAACCCAAUUGUUUACACCACACAAACUUUCCGGAGGUAACAUAUUUAUUUUUUGUCCAUUCUUUUUUCUUUCUUUUUUUCUUUUUUUUAAAAUAUACUGCAGUGCCAACAAAGAAUGUGCAAUGACAAGAAAUGUUAUUGUUUGAAAAUCAAAAAUGUUAAAUGUUCACACAUUGUUUUUUUAUUUGAACAGCAAUUUUCAGAUCUCAGGACAAGUUUUCUUUGGAACACAUUAUAAAUUUUUGUUUUUUCAAAUGAUUUCAACUGACAUAAAUCAGACUGGAAAGGUCGAAAUUACCAAAAUGCUAAUUUCACUAUUAUUGGUUCUUUUGUCGUGCCCAGCUCUUAAUGAUGGAAAACCCUGUAUCACAGUAACAUUCCUUUAAAUGAACUGGAGAAGUCUUGAUUACAAUAAUCAUAUUGCUUUUUACUUUUCAACACUAUUGGAUCUUGUGUCAUACCAGCUUUAGAUGGUGGAUGGAGUAUAUGGAGGUGUUCCUGCUACCUCUCUAUAUGUAGACAACGUCACUGUUGUUGUGACGUUCUUAUUUCUAAGCCUUAAUUUAUGUCCGUUACAACGCCCUUAGGGAGAAAAACUACACCCUCAAAUGGACUGUAGAAGUCCAGAUUACAAUAAUGGUACUUUCAGCACCAUUGCACGGUUUGGUUGUCUUGCCCAGCUCUUAAUGGUCCAAAAUGCUGUACAAUGGAUUAUGUUUUAAAAAUUGAAGAUAAAAGAUUAAGUUUUGAAUAUCUUCUUUUUUUCUCUGAAGAUGGCAAAUCAAAUUAUUAAUUCA